UACGGAGGGAGCUAGCGUUGUUCGGAAUUACUGGGCGUAAAGCGCACUAGGCGGCUUUUUAAGUCAGGGGUGAAAUCCCGAGGCUCAACCCCGGAACUGCCCUUGAAACUGGAGAGCUAGAAUCUGGAGAGGCGAGUGGAAUUCCGAGUGUAGAGGUGAAAUUCGUAGAUAUUCGGAAGAACACCAGUGGCGAAGGCGACUCGCUGGACAAGUAUUGA
rnacentral:rRNA from 1 species